rnacentral:tRNA from 1 species
GCCCCCGUAGCUCAACGGAUUAGAGCACAUCGCUUCGGACGAUGGGGUUGAGGGUUCGAAUCCUUCCGGGGGCG